AGUGAACGCUGGCGGUAGGCCUAACACAUGCAAGUCGAACGGCAGCACAGGAGAGCUUGCUCUCUGGGUGGCGAGUGGCGGACGGGUGAGGAAUACAUCGGAAUCUACUCUGUCGUGGGGGAUAACGUAGGGAAACUUACGCUAAUACCGCAUACGACCUACGGGCGAAAGCAGGGGACCUUCGGGCCUUGCGCGAUUGAAUGAGCCGAUGUCGGAUUAGCUAGUUGGCGGGGUAAAGGCCCACUAAGGCGACGAUCCGUAGCUGGUCUGAGGGGAGGAUCAGCCACACUGGAACUGGGACACGGUCCAGACUCCUACGGGAGGAAGCAGUGGGGAAUAUUGGACAAUGGGCGCAAGCCUGAUCCAGCCAUGCCGCGUGGGUGAAGAAGGCCUUCGGGUUGUAAAGCCCUUUUGUUGGGAAAGAAGUCCAGCUGGCUAAUACCCGGUUGGGAUGACGGUACCCAAAGAAUAAGCACCGGCUAACUUCGUGCCAGCCGCCGCCGUAA
rnacentral:rRNA from 1 species